GAACGAGAAAGUGGAGCAAUCCAUGAGUAAAGUGGCGACCGGGUGAGUAACACGUGACUAACCUGCCCUUGAGUGGGGGAUAACCUCGGGAAACCGGGGCUAAUACCGCAUAACAUCGCAAGAUCAAAGGAGCAAUCCGCUGAAGGAGGGGGUCGCGGCUGAUUAGUUAGUUGGUGAGGUAACGGCUCACCAAGACGAAGAUCAGUAGCCGGCCUGAGAGGGCGCACGGCCACACUGGAACUGAAACACGGUCCAGGCUCCUACGGGAGGCAGCAGUGGGGAAUUUUGCGCAAUGGGGGAAACCCUGACGCAGCAACGCCGCGUGGAGGAUGAAGUCCCUNUGGGAUGUAAACUCCUUUCGAUCGGGACGAUUAUGACGGUACCGGAAGAAGAAGCACCGGCUAACUCUGUG
rnacentral:rRNA from 1 species